rnacentral:rRNA from 1 species
AGUCGAAGGUAGCACAGAGAGCUUGCUCUCGGGUGACGAGUGGCGGACGGGUGAGUAAUGUCUGGGAAACUGCCUGAUGGAGGGGGAUAACUACUGGAAACGGUAGCUAAUACCGCAUAAUGUCGCAAGACCAAAGAGGGGGACCUUCGGGCCUCUUGCCAUCAGAUGUGCCCAGAUGGGAUUAGCUAGUAGGUGGGGUAACGGCUCACCUAGGCGACGAUCCCUAGCUGGUCUGAGAGGAUGACCAGCCACACUGGAACUGAGACACGGUCCAGACUCCUACGGGAGGCAGCAGUGGGGAAUAUUGCACAAUGGGCGCAAGCCUGAUGCAGCCAUGCCGCGUGUAUGAAGAAGGCCUUCGGGUUGUAAAGUACUUUCAGCGGGGAGGAAGGUGUUGUGGUUAAUAACCACAGCAAUUGACGUUACCCGCAGAAGAAGCACCGGCUAACUCCGUGCCAGCAGCCGCGGUAAUACGGAGGGUGCAAGCGUUAAUCGGAAUUACUGGGCGUAAAGCGCACGCAGGCGGUCUGUCAAGUCGGAUGUGAAAUCCCCGGGCUCAACCUGGGAACUGCAUUCGAAACUGGCAGGCUGGAGUCUUGUAGAGGGGGGUAGAAUUCCAGGUGUAGCGGUGAAAUGCGUAGAGAUCUGGAGGAAUACCGGUGGCGAAGGCGGCCCCCUGGACAAAGACUGACGCUCAGGUGCGAAAGCGUGNGGAGCAAACAGGAUUAGAUACCCUGGUAGUCCACGCCGUANACGAUGUCGAUUUGGAGGUUGUGCCCUUGANGCGUGGCUUCCGGAGCUAACGCGUUUAAUCGACCGCCUGGGGAGUACGGCCGCAAGGUUAAAACUCAAAUGAAUUGACGGGGGCCCGCACAAGCGGUGGAGCAUGUGGUUUAAUUCGAUGCAACGCGAAGAACCUUACCUGGUCUUGACAUCCACAGAACUUUCCAGAGAUGGAUUGGUGCCUUCGGGAACUGUGAGACAGGUGCUGCAUGGCUGUCGUCAGCUCGUGUUGUGAAAUGUUGGGUUAAGUCCCGCAACGAGCGCAACCCUUAUCCUUUGUUGCCAGCGGUCCGGCCGGGAACUCAAAGGAGACUGCCAGUGAUAAACUGGAGGAAGGUGGGGAUGACGUCAAGUCAUCAUGGCCCUUACGACCAGGGCUACACACGUGCUACAAUGGCGCAUACAAAGAGAAGCGACCUCGCGAGAGCAAGCGGACCUCAUAAAGUGCGUCGUAGUCCGGAUUGGAGUCUGCAACUCGACUCCAUGAAGUCGGAAUCGCUAGUAAUCGUAGAUCAGAAUGCUACGGUGAAUACGUUCCCGGGCCUUGUACACACACGCCCGUCACACCAUGGGAGUGGGUUGCAAAAGAAGUAGGUAGCUUAACCUUCGGGAGGGCGCUUACCAC